UUCCCUCCCUAAAUUCCCGAAAUCGAAUUUCAUCGCCAACAGGAACGAUUUCAUCGCCCUAACCCAAUUCAAUUUCAUAAACCCUAAAUGAUUUCAGGCAAAAUCGCUCCCCACCGCUUUCGCCYUCACCCUUCAAUCCAUCGCUCCAUCGUCAUUUCUUCAACCUUCAAUCCUGCCUCCAAUGUCGUCUUCUUCAACCUUCAAUUCUGCCUCCAUCGUCGUCUUCUUCAACCUUCCAGAGAGAGCAACCUUGGAAUUGAAAUACCAGAAACUGUACGAGCCACUGUAUUCAAAGGUAGUUUGUAAGAUGAGUGGAAGUCAAGAUGAGUGGCUGUCAGAAUUCGCAUAAAAUGUCAAUACAAAUUGCUAUUAAUCAGUUUGAUUUCAGAGUUCAAGAAUAUUCUGUUUU